AACGAGCGCAACCCUUGAUCUUAGUUGCCAGCACUUCGGGUGGGCACUCUAAGAUGACUGCCGGUGACAAACCGGAGGAAGGUGGGGAUGACGUCAAAUCAUCAUGCCCCUUAUGACCUGGGCUACACACGUACUACAAUGGCCGAUACAACGGGAAGCGAAACCGCGAGGUGGAGCCAAUCCUAUCAAAGUCGGUCUCAGUUCGGAUUGCAGGCUGCAACUCGCCUGCAUGAAGUCGGAAUUGCUAGUAAUCGCGGAUCAGCAUGCCGCGGUGAAUACGUUCCCGGGUCUUGUACACACCGCCCGUCACACCACGAGAGU
rnacentral:sRNA from 1 species